GAUGAAGAACGCAGCGAAAUGUGAUAAGUAAUGUGAAUUGCAGAAUUCAGUGAAUCAUCGAAUCUUUGAACGCACAUUGCGGCCAUAGGUAUUCCUUUGGCCAUGCCUGUUCGAGCGUCAUUUACACCCUCAAGCCUAGCUUGGUGUUGGGCGCCUGUCCCGCCGUUUUCGCGCGCGGACUCGCCUCAAAGUCAUUGGCGGCGGUCGUGCCGGCCCCCUCGCGCAGCACAUUUGCGCUUCUCGGAGGCCCGGCGGAUCCGCGCUCCAGCAAGACCUUUCACGACUUGACCUCGGAUCAGGUAGGGAUACCCGCUGAACUUAAGCAUAUCAAUAAGCGGAGGA
rnacentral:misc_RNA from 1 species